rnacentral:rRNA from 1 species
CGCGUAGGCGGCCUCUUUAGUCGGAUGUGAAAGCCCGAGGCUUAACCUCGGAAGUGCAUUCGAUACUGGGAGGCUUGAGUAUGGGAGAGGGAAGUGGAAUUCCUGGUGUAGAGGUGAAAUUCGUAGAUAUCAGGAGGAACACCGGUGGCGAAGGCGACUUCCUGGACCAAUACUGACGCUGAGGCGCGAAGGCGUGGGGAGCAAACA